UACGUAGGGCGCAAGCGUUGUCCGGAAUUAUUGGGCGUAAAGAGCUCGUAGGCGGUUUGUCGCGUCUGCUGUGGAAACCUAAGGCUCAACCUUGGGCUUGCAGUGGGUACGGGCAGACUAGAGUGCGGUAGGGGUGACUGGAAUUCCUGGUGUAGCGGUGGAAUGCGUAGAGAUCAGGAGGAACACCGAUGGCGAAGGCAGCACUCUGGCCGAAGACUGACGCUGAAGCGCGAAAGCUGGGGGAGCGAACGGG
rnacentral:rRNA from 1 species